ACGAACGCUGGCGGCGUGGCUUAGGCAUGCAAGUCGAACGCGAAAGGGCCGCAAGGCCCAAGUAGAGUGGCGUAAGGGUGAGUAAUGCUCGGGCAACUUGCCCCUCGGACCGGGAUAGCCUCUGGAAACGGAGGGUAAUACCGGAUGGGCUCACGACGGUCGAGGCCGACGUGAGGAAGGUGGGGAUCGCAAGACCUACCACCGAGGGAGAGGCUCGAGUCCUACCAGCUAGUUGGUGAGGUAACGGCUCACCAAGGCGAAGACGGGUAGCCGGACUGAGAGGUCGACCGGCCACACUGGACUGAGACACUGUCCCAGACUCCUACGGGAGGCAGCAGUCGAGAAUUUCCGCAAUGGGCGAAAGCCUGACGGAGUGACGCCGCGUGGAGGACGAAGGCCUUCGGGUCGUAAACCUCCUGUCAGGUAGGAAACGAAGGGCCUGAACAACACGUCUGUGACGACGGUACCCAAGGAAGCCCCAGCUAACUCGUGCCAGCAGCUGCGGUAAUACGAGGGGCGAGCGUUGCUCGGAAUCACUGGGCUAAAGGGCGCGUAGGCGUGAUUCGAAGUCAGGUCGUGAAAUCCUCGGCUCAACCGAUGAAUUGCGCGCCGUACUGCCGUUCUUGAGGGAUGCAGGGGCCUGCGACAUCUCCAGGUGUAGCGGUGAAAUGGUAGAUAUCUAGAGGAACACCGGUGGCGAAGGCGUACCCUGGCAUUCACUGACGCUGAGGCGCGAAAGCGUGGGUAGCAACAGGGAUUAGAUACCCUGGUAGUCCACGCUCGUAACGAUGAGCACUAGGGUAGGGGUCGGUUCAGCCGACCGGUGUCCUGCUAGAUAAUCGCAUUAAGUGCUCCGCCUGGGGAGUAUCGGCUCCGCAAGGCUGAAACUCAAAGGAAUUGACGGGGCUCCACAAGCGGUGGAGCGAUGUGGCUUCAAUUCGAUGCAUACGCGAAGAACCUUACCGGGCUUGACAUGCAGGAGUAGAACUCCGAAAGCGGGGAUCGACCUUCGUAGUCAGUAGCCUGCACAGGUGUUGCAUGGCUGUCGUCAGCUCGUGCCGUGAGGUGUUGGGUUAAGUCCCCUAACGAGCGUAAACCCUGCAGCCUAUGUUGCCAACGGGUAAUCGGCCGGGGCACUCUGCGGAGACUGCCGGUCGAAGAGCUCGGAGGAAGGUGGGGAUGACGUCAAGUCCAGUAUGGCCCUUACGACCCUAGGGCUACCAACGUCUACAAUGGGCCGGUACAGAGGGUAGCCGAGCCCGCAAGGGGGUAGCCAAUCCCAUAAAGCCGGCCUCAGUUCGGAUGCAGGGCUGCAACUCGCCUGCAUGAAGCUGGAAUCGCUAGUAAUCGCAGAUCAGAAGGCUGCGGCUGAAUACUGUUCCUGAGCCUUGUACACACCGCCCGUCACAGCCACGAAGCCAGUCGGUAGCACAGAAGUCGACUGCUCCAACCGCAAGGAGGCAGGCGCCGAAGGUGAUGCUCGAUGAUUGGGGACU
rnacentral:rRNA from 1 species